rnacentral:misc_RNA from 1 species
AACGCAUAUUGCACCUUUUGGUAUUCCGAAAGGUACACUUGUUCGAGCGUCAUUUCAAACUUCAAGUUAAACUUGGUGUUGAAAGCUAUCUCAAAGAUACUUUCAAAACUCUAUUUACUUUCUAUGUCCAGAGAGCAACGAACUCACGUAAGCCUCAACGCAUAGACCUGACCCUUGACCUCGAAUCAAGUGGGAUUACCCGCUGAACUUAA